UGCAACGGCCUGCGGCACCUGCGGUGAAUUUCCGCCCGCCGCCUCCAGGGCUUAUGCAGCCACCGGCAGGGGCGUGACAUCCCCCAGGUUGGAGGCACCUGUCCGCGUCACGUCAGAACUGAAUCCGUGCGGGAGGGGACCGUGCAAGGGUGUGAAUACGAACAGACAAGGCUCUUGGAAGAUCUUCUUGGAGGCCGGCUACCCACCGCAAUAAUGAUGUGUCGUCUAUUCAGUACCUAUUAUGUGCUUGGCUUUAGAUGGGAAUGAUCUCACUUCAUCCUCACUACAGCCUUAUACGGUAGAGGUUGCAGGGGAGGCAAGGCUCAGCAUAUGGCUGUUAACACCCAAGACUUUGAAAGACAGCCGAAUCCACUCUUCAUCUUCAGAGGAAAAAGCUGAGACCCAGAGAGGUGUAGGGGCAGCAGUGAUGGAAGUUUUCUGGGUCUGCCUGUUGGGAAUUGGGAAUUGUCUGCUUUAUGAUAGAUUCUCAGACACUUUGAGGUCCCUUAGUGUCAUGCUCCUGAUUCAGAAGGGCAGCCAGUGGCAGUAAAUUGGCAUUUCAUGAAUGGGGGCUGCCCAGCCCUCCAGAAACUUGGGCUGAGUCUUGAAGGGCCCCUGCCCUACUAUAAAGUCACAGAACUAAUAGCUCAAAGCAAAGGGCUUCCCUGGUGGCUCCAUUUACCAAAGACUCCUUCUAAGUGAAAACCUGAAGAGACCCCUGGAAAGGAUUGUUGGAGAUCUGUAUGGGAACGGCUCCAUCUAUAAGGAGGAAGAUGGCCUGAGUUAUCAUCUAACUACAGCUUUGUAUCUUCUCUAAAUUAAUAAGGCAUUUGGAUAAGAGGGGUUCAAAGUGUGAUAUUAUAAAGUGGCAAGGAAGGACAGAAGGACAGGAAUGGUCAUUUUUGUAGCCCUGCCUGUUCGAAUAGCCACUUUAGGAUGGAGACUUUCAUUUGAGAGUCAUCCUGGUGAAGAUUACGUUUAUACUGUGCUAUGCAUUAGUGGCAGGGAACAUAUAUACUGAAAAUGAUUGGCGCCUCCCUCGCCCUCCUCUCCCCCCCGUGAAAACACAGAAGGCCUCAGCAGGUAGGGGGAGGGAACCAUCACCUGAGACAUCUUUCCACCUUUCCUUUCUAUCUGACUCUCAAACAGAACCCGCUCUGACUUCUCUCCCCACCUUUCCUAGAUCCUGGCUCUGGGGUCUUUUUCAGCUGAGGGUGGAAGCAGGGAUGCUUUGGAAAUCUUUUGGCAUGUGUUAUGGUGAGGAAUUUCAACAACUUGAAAGAAGCAGAGCCGAGUGAAAUUCCAACACAGAUGGUUCUGUCAGACUGGAAUCUGGGGGCCUUUCCCCUGGCGGUCUCGGGACAACACUAUGAGGUUGUUCUGGGUCCACUCCAUCUAUGCAAAAGAACUUGCUGCCCUCUCCACUUCCCUAGCACGUUCGUACCACAGACACUGUCCAAAUGCUGUAUCUGUGCCAGACACUGUGCUGAGCACGGGGGAUAAAAAUGAGGCAGGACUGAGUAGGUAUGGCCAGCGAGUCCCGGCUUGUCCCUAGCAGAGUCACGACCUGGAAAGUUCUGCCGAGAAAGGCUGGGAACAUUUAGAAAGACUCCAACAGAAUGCAGGAACAAUGCCUUGAACAGAAUAUGGGUGAAAUAGGUCAGGGAUUAAGGAAGGCACUUGUGAUGAGCACCAGGUGAUGUAUGGAAUUGUCGAAUCACUGUCUGUACACCUGAAGCUAAUAUAACACUGUAUGUUAACUGAAAUUAAAAUAAAAACCUUA